rnacentral:rRNA from 1 species
GCUUGUCUCAAAGAUUAAGCCAUGCAUGUCUCAGUAUAAGUUCCUGUACGGCGAAACUGCGAAUGGCUCAUUAAAACAGUUAUAGUUUAUUUGAUGGUCCUUGCUACUUGGAUAACCGUAGUAAUUCUAGAGCUAAUACAUGCAUAAAUCCCCGACUGCUUGGAAGGGGUGUAUUUAUUAGAUGGAAACCAAUGCGGGGCAACCCGGAUUCUGGUGAUUCAUAAUAACUUUCGGAUCGAUCCUCGGAUCGAUGCAUCAUUCAAGUUUCUGCCCUAUCAGCUUUGGAUGGUAGGGUAUUGGCCUACCAUGGCUUUAACGGGUAACGGAGAAUUAGGGUUCGAUUCCGGAGAGGGAGCCUGAGAAAUGGCUACCACAUCCAAGGAAGGCAGCAGG